rnacentral:ncRNA from 1 species
UUUUUUAAAUUGUAUUGAAUUGUUAUGAUUCAUUUGUUUGAAAGCCAAAUGACAGUUUCUACGAGGCGUAGGCCUCAAAAAAAAAUAACAAAGUGUAUAAAGGUUUUCUCGAGUUAGACAGAGAUUGAUCCUCGAGUACAAAAACAGAAGGGGGCUUUACUGCAAGAUCCACCCAUCGAGCAAUGACGAAAUUAAGUCGACCUUAGUAAUUCGACGAAGUCAAGUGAAAUGGUCAUCACUCAACGAAUACAAAUUAUUUUAGGAAUAAUAAGUUGAUCUUAUCCAAAAGCUCACAUCAAUGAAAAGAUUUGGCACCUCGAUGUUGACACUUAGCCAUCUAGGGUUGUAGUAUGUUCCAAGAGUUAGAUCGUUCACCCGUCAAAGCGAUGUGAGCAGGACUUAGAUAUUUUUUUUUUGG